UACGAGUGGUGCAAGCGUUAUUCGGAAUCAUUGGGCGUAAAGGGUGUGUAGGCGGUAUAUCAAGUCUGUUGUUAAAUCUCCCAGCCUAACUGGGAAAAUGCAGUGGAAACUGAUGUGCUAGAGGAUGGAAGAGAGAAGUGGAAUUCUCGGAGUAGCGGUAAAAUGCGUAGAUAUCUGGAGGAACACCGGUGGCGAAGGCGGCAUCCUGGACCGGUAUUGACGCUGAGGCGCGAAAGCUAGGGGAGCAAACGGG
rnacentral:rRNA from 1 species